CUUCGUCGCCAAUUUGUGCGGACGAUUCGUCGAUGGGUUUCCUGGUCAAGUCUUACACUUGUUUAUUAAAUUACGUUUAGUUAGUGAGUAAUCAAAAGAGUGACAGCAAGCUCCCUAACACCAAUCGACUGUUUGACUUGUUGUUCUGUGCUCAAGAACGAAACGUGAAAAAUCAAACCACGAGCUUAUUCGCUGAUUAAAACUUUCUCGUGUCAUCACACUACACUAUCGAAUCACUUCCGUGAACGCCAGUGAAAUCUACUGCUUUCAAGAUGUGUAUGAACUGUGGCACCAUAGUCGUAUGCUGCAUACUUUUCGCUAUUGCGAUCGCCGUCGCCAUAUACUACGGUGUUUUCAACGUCGAUAAAUCAGCGCCCGAGGUGGGAGAAUUCAUCAAAAAAACCGGUGACCAGAUCAAGUACGGUAUCAAAGAUGGGAUAAAGAAGCUGGACGAUUAGCGAAGAGAGCGAAUGUAUUACAAACGAUAACAAUACAUUACAGGAACAGGUGCCGAUUCAAAACAGCAACUUACGGCUGAGAUAUUUAAUUAAUAUUAUUUACUGUGGAUCAGCGAAGCAUGACGUUUAAAAUCUCGAGUAUACAUGAUCUGAUGUUAGCAACGUACAUAAUUUAUUCAAUUUUAACAAAAAGAUUAUGAGAA